ensembl:snRNA LOC120095506 U6 spliceosomal RNA
GUGCUCGCUUCAGCAGCACAUAUACUAAAAUUGGAACGAUACAGAGAAGAUUAGCAUUGUCCCUGCGCUAGGAUGACACAUGAAUUCGUGAAGCGGUCCAUAUUUCC